GAUGCCAUUAUGUAGCACCUAACUUUAUUGUCAUCGUUCGUCCACUUGGCAUGCGUCUUACGCUGAUCAGUGAUCGGACAAAUUGGUAAUACGGGGAUUUCAUGGUCUAGCACAUACCCUAAUUUCUCACAAUUCAAAACUAUUUUGAAAUUUGCUGAGCCAGUUUUUAUAAUUGGGUUUGGUCAAACGGUUGUUCUAUAGGAUAUGAGUUA
rnacentral:lncRNA from 1 species